ACAUCCAGAGAACUUAGCAGAGAUGCUUUGGUGCCUUCGGGAACUCUGAGACAGGUGCUGCAUGGCUGUCGUCAGCUCGUGUUGUGAAAUGUUGGGUUAAGUCCCGCAACGAGCCGCAACCCCUAUCCUUUGUUGCCAGCGAUUCGGUCGGGAACUCAAAGGAGACUGCCGGUGAUAAACCGGAGGAAGGUGGGGAUGACGUCAAGUCAUCAUGGCCCUUACGAGUAGGGCUACACACGUGCUACGAUGGCGCAUACAAAGAGAAGCGACCUCGCGAGAGCAAGCGGACCUCAUAAAGUGCGUCGUAGUCCGGAUUGGAGUCUGCAACUCGACUCCAUGAAGUCGGAAUCGUUAGUAAUCGUAGAUCAGAAUGCUACGGUGAAUACGUUCCCGGGCCUUGUACACACCGCCCGUCACACCAUGGGAGUGGGUUGCAAAAGAAGUAGAUAGCUUAACCUUCGGGAGGGCGUUUACCACUUUGUGAUUCAUGACUGGGGUGAAGUCGUAACAAGGUAAGCGUAGCGAG
rnacentral:rRNA from 1 species